rnacentral:tRNA from 1 species
GCGCCCGUAGCUCAGUUGGAUAGAGCAACGGAUUUCUAAUCCGUGGGUCACAGGUUCAAAUCCUGUCGGGCGUG